GAUGAACGCUGGCGGCGUGCCUAAUACAUGCAAGUCGAGCGAACAGACGAGGAGCUUGCUCCUCUGACGUUAGCGGCGGACGGGUGAGUAACACGUGGAUAACCUACCUAUAAGACUGGGAUAACUUCGGGAAACCGGAGCUAAUACCGGAUAAUAUAUUGAACCGCAUGGUUCAAUAGUGAAAGACGGUUUUGCUGUCACUUAUAGAUGGAUCCGCGCCGCAUUAGCUAGUUGGUAAGGUAACGGCUUACCAAGGCAACGAUGCGUAGCCGACCUGAGAGGGUGAUCGGCCACACUGGAGCUGAGACACGGUCCAGACUCCUAAGGGAGGCAGCAGUAGGGAAUCUUCCGCAAAGGGCGAAAGCCUGACGGAGCAACGCCGCGUGAGUGAUGAAGGUCUUCGGAUCGUAAAACUCUGUUAUUAGGGAAGAACAAAUGUGUAAGUAACUAUGCACGUCUUGACGGUACCUAAUCAGAAAGCCACGGCUAACUACGUG
rnacentral:rRNA from 1 species